rnacentral:tRNA from 1 species
GCCACCUUAGCUCAGUUGGUUAGAGCACCAGUUUUGUAAACUGGUUGUCCUGGGUUCGAAUCCCAGAGGUGGCUCCA